AGUUCACUGAACGAGAACGAUUCGGUUACCUUAAAGAUUCAUUCAAAAAGAACGAUUCGUUCACUAGCGGAAGGUCGCUAGUGCCCUUGCAUGCUUCAAGGAAGACCCCAAUUACAUAUAAACACUGUUAAACGAUAAUACAACAUGUUAUUUGAUGGUCUGAAGUGGUAUAAGCGCACAGCAUUAAUUUAUGCAAUCGGAACUUGGACUUUGCUUGGUUCUUGUGCAUAUUACACAUUUUUUCACUGCGAUGAACGAGUCAUUAUACCUAAAGAGGAGGAGGGGAUCGAGGAGGACGCAAAACCAAAUGUGAGAAUAAUUAAAUCCUCUCACAUGUCAGCAAAAAUUACCUACAAAGAAGAUUUUGUCCCAUAUUCCACAAGAUUUUUAAAACUUUUCAGUUCCAGAGCUGAGGACACUUCAGGAAGUCAAAAUGAUGAAAAAUAAAAGUCAUUUUAAAUUGCACUACUAUGCAAUGUAUUUUCUUGCAUGGUCGAUGGAAAGUUUUUCAUGAAUGUACUUUAUAAUAAA